CGGCUUGGGGAGCGUCACCACGGCAUCUCCCGGCAAGAAGAACCCUGGAAAAGUCAAGAGUCCGGCAACUCCUGCACAUCAACCCCACCCAUGGCUCGGUAAUCGGGCGGUUGCGGGUUCGAGUCCCGCAGUCGGCUCCA
rnacentral:tRNA from 1 species